UGAUCAAAUUGUUUAAAUUUUUCAUUGUGUCUCUUUGAGAGAAACUUGUUGCGUGGUUAAAUAUUUUGCACAAAAUUUAUCACUAACAAUGACAGAAUGUGAAGAAGUUUGUCUCUACACCACUGAUCACACUAUAACAAGAAUUCGCAGCACAGUUAUGCUUUGUAAAGAGUACGGAAGCUAUAUUUCAUUUGCUCAACCGACAAAUCGAACUCGCGUCUAUGAAUAGAUAGUAUCAGGCAAUAUCAUGCAAGUGCACGUUUAUAUUAUGGUAUGGGCAGUGUUACUUUUUGUUAAUAUAUCUUAACAACAUUUUCUCAAUA